CUCACGGAAGAGAACAGCGAUCAUUGCUUUAUAAGGAGGACGAAGAAUAGCUUCAUAAAAGGUUGUUUUAACUCUUUGUUAGUGUUGUUCGCAUCCCUUCCUUUUCUGUCUGUCGGAAGAACUUUGAUCACCAAUUUAUCAAAAAGGGUUGCAGCUAGAUAACAGAAGUUCAGAAAGAACUGGAUUAGGAUCAAGCAACACCCUCUUGGCCAUAGCAGUUUCGUUUGAAAAUGUUUUCAAGACUCACCGUCAUUUCCCUUGUCGUCCUUGUCGCUGCCUCCAUGAUUCCUCAAACUCACGCGUUUACAGCAGGAGCAGGGAAUAUCGGUAAUGGCAAGCGAGCGGUGGAUCAUAAGAACCAGAUUACAUUUAGCCUUCACCGUAUCUGUGAAACGGCAGAGAUCGCUUGUUCGUCUCUCAAGAGAAAAAAGGAUGAAUUUGCUAUUCCAAUGAAAGAUCGAUAUGAACAGUAAACCGGCACGGCCACUGAUCAGCUUAUCUUAUCUUCAAGUUUCCUUUGGACUGAAUCUUAUGGAAGACAAUGCCACGUCAAAAGAAGACUUUGAACAUGUCUGUAAAUUUAUUUUAAUGUGUAAAGUAGAUAAUCAUGACUGUGUCAACUGGUAAAAUGAAUAAAAACAAAAUUCAAACGCAGUGUAAAAAGGUAUGGCAAAUAAACAUUGUGACCAAAUACAAAA